GUUUAAAUUAUCCUUUCCCAUGGUGCUCUGCCUCUCCCACCUUAGUCUUGGCCCUACAUCAUCAUACGUAACAGGGUGUAUAAUAAAAUCCGCCUCUUCUUCCCAAAGAUUAGUCAAAGACUGCUUCAAAUCAGGUUUUGGUGGCUGAAACCCUGUUCGGGAAUUCAGUGGCUAUGGCUGCAAAUGAAGAUGCUGUACAGGAAUUUACACCAAAGAAGAAGCCACCUUCAGAGGAUGAGAAGAGGAAGAAGAAAAUUGUGCCUGGGAGUUUAAUGAAAGCUUUGAUGAGGCCUGGUGGGGGUGAUGCUGGACCUUCUGAUGGUGACCAGAUUAUCUAUCACUGCACAAUUCGGACUUUGGAUGGAGUACUUGUGGAAUCUACCAGAUCAGAUUAUGGAGGCAAGGGCAUCCCAAUAAGACAUGUUUUGGGCAAAAGCAAGAUGUUAUUGGGAUUGCUAGAAGGAAUUCCAUCAAUGUUGAAAGGCGAAGUGGCAAUGUUCAAGAUGAAGCCUCAGUUGCAUUAUGGUGAGGAUGAUUGUCCUGUUUCUGCUCCUGAUGGUUUUCCUAAGGAUGAUGAACUUCAUUUUGAAAUUGAGCUGAUAGAAUUUUUCAAAGCCAAGGUUGUUACUGAUGAUUUGGGAGUUGUGAAAAAGGUAGAAUGUGAAGGGCAGGGCUGGGAAUCUCCAAGAGAACCUUAUGAAGUGAAGGCUUUGAUUUCAGCAAAGACAGUUACUGGGAAAUUGAUAAUGUCACAUAUGGAAGGAGAACCAUACUUCUUUACUUUUGGAAAAUCAGAGGUACCUAAAGGCCUUGAAAUGGCGAUAGGAACAAUGGUUCGGGAAGAGAAGGCUGUUAUAUAUGUCACCAGUCAGUAUUUGACUGAGUCUCCUCUGAUGCCUGUAAUAGAAGGUUACGAUGAAGUCCAUUUUGAAGUGGAGCUGGUUCACUUUAUUCAGGUGAGAGACAUGCUUGGAGAUGGGCGCCUAAUAAAACGCCGAAUUCGUGAUGGGAAAGGUGAUUUUCCAAUGGAUUGUCCCCUUCAUGACAGUCUGCUUCGCGUUCAUUACAAGGGUACUGUUCUCAAUGAAGAAAAGAGGGUAUUCUAUGAUACAAGGGUAGACAAUGAUGGUCAGCCAUUGGAGUUCUGUUCUGGAGAAGGGCUUGUACCAGAGGGAUUUGAAAUGAGUGUUCGUUUGAUGCUUCCUGGAGAGAUAGCUCUUGUCACAUGCCCUCCUGACUAUGCUUAUGAUAAGUUUCCGAGGCCAUUAAAUGUCCCUGAGGGUGCUCAUAUUCAGUGGGAAAUUGAGCUUCUAGGUUUUGAAACGCCAAAGGACUGGACUGGAUUGGACUUUAAAAGUAUAAUGAAUGAAGCUGAAAACAUCAGAAAUACGGGUAACAGGCUGUUCAAAGAAGGAAAAUAUGAACUUGCCAAGGCAAAGUAUGAAAAGGUGCUUCGAGAAUUUAAUCAUGUUAAUCCACAAGAUGACGAAGAAGGAAAAGUUUUUGCUGACACACGCAAUUUGCUGCACCUGAAUGUUGCUGCAUGCCAUCUAAAAUUGGGAGAAUGCAAAAAGUCCAUUGAGACUUGCAAUAAGGUUUUGGAAGCAAAUCCUGCACAUGUCAAGGGUCUUUAUCGUCGUGGAAUGGCCUACAUGGCUGCUGGAGAUUUUGAAGAAGCGAGGGCUGAUUUCAAAGUGAUGAUGAAAGUCGACAAGUCAACUGAAUCAGAUGCAACUGCAGCUCUUCAAAAACUGAAGCAGAAGGAACAGGAUGUUGAGAAGAAAGCUAGGAAACAAUUUAAAGGGCUAUUUGACAAGAAGCCGGGAGAGAUUUCAGAAGCUAAAGCUGAUGUAGAUGGAGAUCAGAUCACAAGUGAAAGCCAGAAGGACGAUGAAGUACAUGGGGACUCUGAUGGAACAAAUUCAGAGGACUCACAUGAAGCUCCACCUGAGGCACAACGAACGGGUUGGUUCUCACUCUUUUGGCCUUCUGGCAGAAGACUUUUUGAAUCUCUUGGGAUUAAUAGAUGUACCAUACUUUAAUUUAACUUAAAAACAUGUGGUAGUUGGUCAUAAUACAAUUUCUAAAACAAGGCAUUCCAUGUCAUUUAACACACUGGUAUUGAAAGAAUAAGAGUUCAGGUAUAUGUAACUUAUGUUACCGGGAAAUUUUAUGAUGUCUGCUGAAAGUUUUUUGGUUUUCAACUUUUACUUUGUCUUUGUCAUGUAAAAUCAUUUUAUUUUAUUUUUUAUAUGUUGAAUAAAAGAGAGUUGUAAGUGUUAGAAUCCCUUCA